CCUUGAGCCCUCGGCGCCAAACCCUUGCCUCGCCCUUGCCCUUGCCCUUGCCCUUGCCCUUGCCCGUGCCCUAGCUCCCCCCGGCGCCAGGCUUCUUCUUCCCCUCUCGCGCCGCUGCCCUCUCCUCUCUCGUCCGAUCGCUGCAAAUCUUCGACCCGAGACAUUGGCGCCGCGCCACCAGUCGCCAUCGUUCGCCCACGCCGCACCUCCGUCGGUCACGACGAGCCCCAGCCGCCGGCCUUGCCUCCUGCCCUUGCUACAGCGGCGAUCUCUCUUCCUCGCAUGAGCACCCUUGGAUGCUACCGACCCCUCCUCACGGCCGCACCAGAGAUGUCACGACGAGCACGACCGACGAUCUCUCCCUCUCCGAGCCGUGCCCUAACUGAUCCAGUUUGAACAGAGUGAUGGAGUUUUAAGCUUUAACAAAGAUGCUUUACUCUGUUGUCGUUAUGGAAUGGCUGAAUUGAAUUGGACACUGCUAUGAGCCAAGUGGUCUGAAGUGGAGACAGCCUAGCACGAUCGACAAGUAAAGGCGGGUACUUCUUGCUUUGUUUCUUUUAGUUCUUUGAACUGGUGCAUGAUCUAUUUUUGGAUGAGGAUUAUUUUACCUUGACUCCACUCUUAUUUUCCCGCGCUUGAUAUUUCCACGUGAUCUUUGAGAAACUCGUUUCCAUAUCUAUGCAGUCUCUUGUUGUUGUCCAUGAUCAGAAGCAGAUACUAGAUACCAUGUUGUAUGUUUUGACCGUUGCUUAUUCAUGUACAAUAUUGAGCAUGCUGGCUUCAUGUAGCAUACCUGUUUCU